GGGCGGAUGGCGGAACUGGCAGACGCACAGGACUUAAAAUCCUGAGUCCUUCAGUGGAUGUGAGGGUUCAAUUCCCUCUCCGCCCA
rfam:Elusimicrobia bacterium RIFOXYB2_FTLL_48_7 rifoxyb2_full_scaffold_4839, whole genome shotgun sequence.